AUUUUGACUAUACAAAGGUAUUGAAAUAAGAUUUUAAUUGAAUGCUAAGAGAAUGGAAUUUCAGAAAAAAGCUUUCUUUAAAUUAAAAAUUGAAUUUUUCUUAAUUUGUGCAGAGACAAUUAUUAAUAUUAAGGACAAGAAGACCCUAUGAAUUUUAAUGAGAGAUUACUAUUAAUAUAAAUUUUGGCUGGGGCGGCAAGAAAAUAUCAAAAACUUUUCAGAUAAUAAAAUGAUCCAUUAGUAAUGAUUACAUGUUAAAUACUCUAGGGAUAACAGCGUUAUAUUUUUUGAUAGAUCAUAUUGACAAAAAAGUUUGCGACCUCGAUGUUGGAUUAGGAUACUUUUUUAAUGCAGAUAUUAAAAAAAGAAGUUUGUUCAAC
rnacentral:rRNA from 1 species